GACAUAAAAAUGGUCGCUCGGCCAUGAAAACGUGUGCUAUAGCUCACGGGAGGCCAAAACAGCCUUACCAGUCUCAAUGGUCAAAUCAUGGGUGGCGGACGGGAGGCACGAAAUCGCUGUUCGACGACAAAAACAUGUGUCACGGGAGGCCCUAAAACCUAAACCCUAAACCCUACAGCUCGUGGGAGGCCAAGAACAACUUUAAGGUGCUCUAGGGACCAAAACACGGGUGGUGGAACACGUACUUAAAAAUGGUCGCUCGACCAUGAAAACGUGUGCUAUAGCUCACUUGUGGCAAAAAAUGUCGUAACGGCCUCUCCGGUCUAAAACGUAGGUGGCAGGUCGGAUACAUGAAAUUGACACUUUGGCCACAGAAACGUGUGCUACAGCUCGUGGGAGGCCAAGAACAACUUUAAGGUGCUCUGGGGACCAAAACGCGGGUGGUGGAACACGUACUUAAAAAUGGUCGCUCGACCAUGAAAACAUGUGCUAUAGCUUAUGGGAGGCCAUAAACAUCCUUAGCAGUCUCAGUGGCCAAAUCAUGGGUGGUGGACGGGAGGCAUGAAAUCGUUGUUUGAUGAUGAAAACAUGUGUCACGGGAGGCCAAAAAUAGCCUUACGGGUCUUCGGGGACCAAAACGUGUACUAUGGUUUGGACACUAAAAUUCUACUAUGUCAGCAAAGUUGAUAUGGUUGGGAGACUCAAAUUUCAUUUUACCAUGGUUUCGACACUAAAAUCCUUUAGUGUCGAUGUUUAGGUUUAGGGUUUAGGGAUAGGAUUUUAGGGUCUAGGUUUCCAUAAAAUCGUGUGCUAGCUCACGGGUGGCAAAAAAAUGCCAUAACAGCCUCCCUAGUCUAAAACGAAGGUGGCAAGUCGGAUACAUAAAAUUGGCUGUUUGGCCACGGAAAUGUGUGAUAUAGCUCGCGGGAGGCCAAGAACCGCUUUACGGUGCUCCGGGGAAAAAAACACGUGUGGCGGAACGCGGACAUAAAAAUGGUCGCUGGGCCAUGAAAACGUGUGCUAUAGCUCACGGGAGGCCGAAACAGCCUUACCAGUCUCGAUGGUCAAAUCAUGGGUGGCGGACGGGAGGCACGAAAUCGUUGUUCGACGACAAAAACAUGUGUCACAGGAGGCCCUAAAACCUAUACCCUAAACCCUACAGCUCGUGGGAGGCCAAGAACAACUUUAAG
rnacentral:lncRNA from 1 species